GUGCGCCGGCGUGAGCAUGUUCAAACUUAAGAGUUUUCACUAUAUAAAUGUUGGUAUCUCUCACACAAAAAGGGGCGAAGUAGUUGCUUGCGGCCUGCGCUGUUGGGAGCCUGGGGAAUCCUUCCCUUUGGUUUUUGAGCUGUACUGCCCAUGCGGAACUCUCCAAGCGGUAUUUAUGCCAUAACAUUUUCUUUCGUUUCUGUCGAGCUCAAUCCGAAAAAUGAUCGACUGUGAAGCUUAAUCAGCUAUGGAAUCCGAUGGUGAUAUGUCCGAGUGAUAAGAACAGACUGGAUAAGGCCCACCCAGUCAGCUGUCGAGAAAGGCGGGUGUUUUUUUUCGAUACUUUUAUUCUUCAAUAUGAAGAAUCGGUAAUAUUAGAGCUGCUUCAAUUGGGAAUUGGAGGGAGCACUGCUGGUGGUCCAUGGUCGAUGGUACCACUAACCAUAAUCCUUUCCUUCAGCUCUCGCACCGAAAAAAUUCUUCAAUCUACGAACCUGGC